UAAGAAGAGGUUGUGUGUAUCGGCUUUGUGUCUUUUCACAAAUGCACUUUUAUCGAAAGAGUUCUCUGCAAAACUAUAUAUCGAGGAAGAUGGGCAGUUGUGUUUUAUAAUCCGUCUUUAGUCAUUUAAUAUGUAUGUAGAGUGACUUUUUGAUUCCUUAUUUCA
rnacentral:snoRNA from 1 species